GAUUCACAUACUCACUGGAUAAAAUCCUUCCUCGAACGUAUGCUGAACUCUUAGAAUGUGUGUACAAAUACAUGCGCACGGACGAAGGAGCUUCUGACCAGCGCUAGACAGAAAAUAAAGGUCAGAAGAAAAAGCAGAAGAAGAAUGGGGCUCCGGUCGAAACAAGUAGGCUCCCAUCCAAUAAGCAAGCCUCACCCCGAUGAC
rnacentral:lncRNA from 1 species